CUGGCGGCGUGCCUAACACAUGCAAGUCGAACGGGGCAUCAGCGCUGACGAGACUUCGGUCAAAUCUUGUUGAUGCUUAGUGGCGGACGGGUGGAGUAACGCGUGGGCAACCUGCCUCACACUGGGGGAUAGCAGCUGGAAACGGCUGGUAAUACCGCAUAAGCGCACAGUACCGCAUGGUACAGUGUGAAAAACUCCGGUGGUGUGAGAUGGGCCCGCGUCCGAUUAGCCAGUUGGCGGGGUAACGGCCCACCAAAGCGACGAUCGGUAGCCGGCCUGAGAGGGCGGACGGCCACAUUGGGACUGAGACACGGCCCAGACUCCUACGGGAGGCAGCAGUGGGGGAUAUUGCACAAUGGGGGAAACCCUGAUGCAGCGACGCCGCGUGGGUGAAGAAGUAUUUCGGUAUGUAAAGCCCUAUCAGCAGGGACGAUAAUGACGGUACCUGAGUAAGAAGCCCCGGCUAACUACGUGCCAGCCGCCGC
rnacentral:rRNA from 1 species